rnacentral:rRNA from 1 species
AACUUCUGAAUGUUGACCUCGGAUCAGGUAGGAAUACCCGCUGAACUUAAGCAUAUCAAUAAGCGGAGGAAAAGAAACCAACGGGGAUUGGCCUAGUAACGGCGAGUGAAGCGGCAACAGCUCAAAUUUGAAAUCUGGCUUUCGGGCCCGAGUUGUAAUUUGUAGAGGAUGAUUUUGAUGCGGUGCCUUCCGAGUUCCCUGGAACGGGACGCCAUAGAGGGUGAGAGCCCCGUCUGGUUGGAUGCCAAAUCUCUGUAAAUCUCCUUCGACGAGUCGAGUAGUUUGGGAAUGCUGCUCUAAAUGGGAGGUAUAUGUCUUCUAAAGCUAAAUACCGGCCAGAGACCGAUAGCGCACAAGUAGAGUGAUCGAAAGAUGAAAAGCACUUUGAAAAGAGAGUUAAAAAGUACGUGAAAUUGUUGAAAGGGAAGCGUUUAUGACCAGACUUGGGCUUGGUUAAUCAUCUGGGGUUCUCUCCAGUGCACUUUUCCAGUCCAGGCCAGCAUCAGUUUUCGCCGGGGGAUAAAGGCUUCGGGAAUGUGGCUCCCCUCGGGGAGUGUUAUAGCCCGUUGUGUAAUACCCUGGUGGGGACUGAGGUUCGCGCUUCUGCAAGGAUGCUGGCGUAAUGGUCAUCAACGACCCGUCU